rnacentral:rRNA from 1 species
GUGAGUGUUGGGUUAAGUCCCGUAACGAGCGCAACCCUUGUCCUUAGUUACCAGCACGUUAUGGUGGGCACUCUAAGGAGACUGCCGGUGACAAACCGGAGGAAGGUGGGGAUGACGUCAAGUCAUCAUGGCCCUUACGGCCUGGGCUACACACGUGCUACAAUGGUCGGUACAAAGGGUUGCCAAGCCGCGAGGUGGAGCUAAUCCCAUAAAACCGAUCGUAGUCCGGAUCGCAGUCUGCAACUCGACUGCGUGAAGUCGGAAUCGCUAGUAAUCGUGAAUCAGAAUGUCACGGUGAAUACGUUCCCGGGCCUU